GAUGAACGCUGGCGGCGUGCCUAAUACAUGCAAGUCGAGCGAACAGAUGAGGAGCUUGCUCCUCUGACGUUAGCGGCGGACGGGUGAGUAACACGUGGAUAACCUACCUAUAAGACUGGGAUAACUUCGGGAAACCGGAGCUAAUACCGGAUAAUAUAUUGAACCGCAUGGUUCAAUAGUGAAAGACGGUUUUGCUGUCACUUAUAGAUGGAUCCGCGCCGCAUUAGCUAUUUGGUAAGGUAACGGCUUACCAAGGCAACGAUGCGUAGCCGACCUGAGAGGGUGAUCGGCCACACUGGAACUGAGACACGGUCCAGACUCCGACGGGAGGCAGCAGUAGGGAAUCUUCCGCAAUGGGCGAAAGCCUGACGGAGCAACGCCGCGUGAGUGAUGAAGGUCUUCGGAUCGUAAAACUCUGUUAUUAGGGAAGAACAAAUGUGUAAGUAACUAUGCACGUCUUGACGGUACCUAAUCAGAAAGCCACGGCUAACUACGUG
rnacentral:rRNA from 1 species